rnacentral:rRNA from 1 species
UACAGAGGUGGCAAGCGUUGUUCGGAAUUACUGGGCGUAAAGAGCUCGUAGGCGGCCUGUCGCGUCGGAUGUGAAAACUCGGGGCUUAACCCCGAGCCUGCAUUCGAUACGGGCAGGCUAGAGUUCGGCAGGGGAGACUGGAAUUCCUGGUGUAGCGGUGAAAUGCGCAGAUAUCAGGAGGAACACCGGUGGCGAAGGCGGGUCUCUGGGCCGAUACUGACGCUGAGGAGCGAAAGCGUGGGGAGCGAACAGG